UCGUGACAAAACGGAUCCGAUAAAAUUGGAACGACAUAGAGUAGCUUAGCAUGGACUUUGUGAAGGAUGAAAGGAAAAAUCAAGAAAUAGUCCAAAUUUUG